CCUACGGGUGGCAGCAGUAGGGAAUCUUUCACAAUGGGCGAAAGCCUGAUGGAGCAACGCCGCGUGCAGGAUGAAGGCCUUCGGGUUGUAAACUGCUUUUAUAAGCGAGAAAUAUGAUGGUAACUUAUGAAUAAGGAUCGGCUAACUACGUGCCAGCAGCCGCGGUCAUACGUAGGAUCCGAGCAUUAUCCGGAGUGACUGGGUGUAAAGAGUUGCGUAGGUGGCAUAAUAAGUAGCUAGUGGAAUCUGGUGGCUCAACCAUUCAGACUAUUAGGUAAACUGUUAAGCUCGAGACCGUUAGGGGUAACUGGAAUGUCUAGUGUAGGAGUGAAAUCCGUAGAUAUUAGAAGGAACACCAAUAGCGUAGGCAGGUUGCUGGGACGGUUCUGACACUAAGGCACGAAAGCGUAGGGAGCAAACGGGAUUAGAUACCCUUGUAGUC
rnacentral:rRNA from 1 species